UUUGAACCUGAAUCCGAUUUAGAUUAUCUUGUCUUGGCAUCGUAUUUGAACUCAUGGAUACCCUAAAAUAUUUGGACUUCCUUACUCAUUUUAACCACUCUUGUUAGUCCAAGUAGCUGACUCCCCUCAUUGGAGCAGUUAACCCCGACCCUAAACCUAAACCUUCUUUCAAGCCCUUUAUCACUUGUGAGUGUUUGUCAGGUCUUAUUCCGAUUGAGCUUGGUAGAAAUUGUUAGGUUCGUAACGAUAGAGAUAGUGUCUCAUGUAGUUCUAGUUCGCGUUUUCAGGACUGGAUAUGACUAGGUGGGCA
rnacentral:sRNA from 1 species